rnacentral:rRNA from 1 species
UACACGACCGUACCGCAAACCGACACUGGUGCGCGAGAUGAGCAUUCUAAGGCGCUUGAGAGAACUCAGGAGAAGGAACUCGGCAAAUUGACACCGGAACUUCGGAAGAAGGUGUGCCUUUAGUAGGUGAACCUGUACAAGGGGAGCCCAAUGAGGUUGCAAAAAAUCGGUGGCUGCGACUGUUUAAUAAAAACACAGCACUCUGCAAACACGAAAGUGGACGUAUAGGGUGUGACGCCUGCCCGGUGCUGGAAGAUUAAAUGAUGGGGUGCAAGCUCUUGAUUGAAGUCCCAGUAAACGGCGGCCGUAACGAUAACGGUCCUAAGGUAGCGAAAUUCCUUGUCGGGUAAGUUCCGACCUGCACGAAUGGCGUAACGAUGGCCACACUGUCUCCUCCUGAGACUCAGCGAAGUUGAAAUGUUUGUGAUGAUGCAAUCUCCCCGCGGAAAGACGGAAAGACCCCAUGAACCUUUACUGUAGCUUUGUAUUGGACUUUGAACAGAUCUGUGUAGGAUAGGUGGGAGGCUUUGAAGUGUGGUCGCUAGAUCGCAUGGAGCCAACGUUGAAAUACCACCCUGGUGUGUUUGAGGUUCUAACCUAGGCCCGUAAUCCGGGUCGGGGACAGUGCAUGGUAGGCAGUUUGACUGGGGCGGUCUCCUCCCAAAGCGUAACGGAGGAGUUCGAAGGUACGCUAGGUACGGUCGGACAUCGUGCUAAUAGUGCAAUGGCAUAAGCGUGCUUAACUGCAAGACUGACAAGUCGAGCAGAUGCGAAAGCAGGACAUAGUGAUCCGGUGGUUCUGUAUGGAAGGGCCAUCGUUCAACGGAUAAAAGGUACUCUGGGGAUAACAGGCUGAUACCGCCCAAGAGUUCAUAUCGACGGCGGUGUUUGGCACCUCGAUGUCGGCUCAUCUCAUCCUGGGGCUGUAGCCGGUCCCAAGGGUAUGGCUGUUCGCCAUCUAAAGAGGUACGUGAGCUGGGUUUAAAACGUCGUGAGACAGUUUGGUCCCUAUCUUCCGAGGGCGCUGCAGAUUUGAGGAAGCCUGCUCCUAGUACGAGAGGACCGGAGUGGACACACCUCUGGUGUAUCGGUUGUCACGCCAGUGGCAUUGCCGAGUAGCUAUGUGUGGAAGAGAUAACCGCUGAAAGCAUCUAAGCGGGAAACUCGUUUCAAGAUGAGAUCUGCCGGGGCCUUGAGCCCCCUAAAGAGUCGUUCAAGACCAGGACGUUGAUAGGUCGGGUGUGGAAGCGCAGUAAUGCGUUAAGCUAACCGAUACUAAUUGCUCGUGCGGCUUGACC